ensembl:lncRNA
ACCGAGAUAAGAAACUUGUUUGAUUGGAUUCAAGUGAUGAAACUUUCAUCAUCAGUGUUUGCAAUCAGAGCUCUCAGAAUUUUCUGUGUGCACAUCUGCAGCAGAGUAAAGUGCAGACCUUCAUGAAGCCUGAAGGUUACGAAGCCUUCCCUUUAGAGGCCUUGGCCCCGACAUAACGAGAAAACCUAUUUAUAGUAAUUUUCUUGGCACUACACAUGUCACAAACAUGCACGUCAAAUUAGGCGGUAGCUAAACUCUACCUGCAAGACUUUUUUUUUAUAGCUCUCUCCAUCUUUGUCCUUCCUCAGAAUUUCUCCCAUAUGGGAGGUCAGUGAAUGGGCUCUUAAGGCCGUCCCGUCCAAAAGGGUGUGUCAUUUGGCUCAACCUCGGGCGCCUGCAGCUGGUUGGCAGCCCGCCCGCCCGUUGUUGGUCCCUGUAAGCAGAGGCAUACAGACAGCUGUUGCCACUUCACGGAUCUGCCAGCUCGCCCAGCCAAAGCGAAGGCAGGUUCUGGAGAAAUCCAGGCACAAAUCUAAAUAUGCACAAGUAAUCCACCUGCCCUCUAAAGCAUCGGCACACAUAGAGCUACUCGCCACUCCGAAGAAUGACCAUCCCGAGUUCAAAGGAGACCGCCCAAUGUGCUGGCCCGUUUCAAAAGCUGCAAAAAGCUACAUAACCAGCCAAAGACUGCUUGAUCUGUCCAGUCCUAAAGAGAGGAAGGCUCUGUAUGAGGGAUAUGACCCAUACAUGAUCAGCCGGGCAGCCCGAUCAGCCAGCCCCUCUCCCAGAAUACAACAGCUCUGUUUGCCUCUGUCUCGCAAAUGCAGCUCAGAGUAAGAGCAGUGACGGCAAACACCGGUCCCCAGAGAGUUGUUGAUUGUUCCAUUUUCCUUGCCGAAGACUGUAAUCGUGAUGAAGUGUUUUCCUUGUGAAAUAAUGACUAAGCUUUGUUAUUUGCUCUGCUGCGUGAAUAGCUAUGCCCAUAGGUAAAAGACUACUGC